rnacentral:misc_RNA from 1 species
UCCUGGUUAACCCAGGCAGUCUCACUAGAGUUCCCACCCUAAGUGCUGGCAACUAGUGAUAAGGGUUGCGCUCGUUGCGGGACUUAACCCAACACCUCACGGCACGAGCUGACGACAGCCAUGCAGCACCUGUGUACCUGUCCUUUCGGAAGACGACAUUUCUGCCGCUGUCAGGCACAUGUCAAACCUGGGUAAGGUUCUUCGCGUUGCAUCGAAUUAAACCACAUGCUCCACUGCUUGUGCGGGCCCCCGUCAAUUCUUUUGAGUUUCACCCUUGCGAGCGUACUCCUCAGGCGGUACACUUAACGCGUUAGCUACGACACAGCUGGGGUUGAGACCAGCUACAUCAAGUGUACAUCGUUUACAGCAAGGACUAC